rnacentral:rRNA from 1 species
AUUGAACGCUGGCGGCGUGCCUAACACAUGCAAGUCGAGCGGUAACAGGUGUAGCAAUACAUGCUGACGAGCGGCGGACGGGUGAGUAACGCUUGGGAAUCUGCCUGUUAGUGGGGACAACCCGGGAAACUCGGGCUAAUACCGCAUACGCACUACGGUGGAAAGCCCGGGGACCGCAAGGCCUGGCGCUAACAGAUGAGCCCAAGUCGGAUUAGCUAGUUGGUAGGUAACGGCCACCAAGGCGACGAUCCGUAACUGGUCUGAGAGGACGACCAGUCACACCGGAACUGAGACACGGUCCGGACUCCUACGGGAGGCAGCAGUGGGGAAUCUUGCGCAAUGGGCGAAAGCCUGACGCAGCGACGCCGCGUGAGGGAUGACGGCCUC